ACGGCUCAGUAACACGUGGACAACCUGCCCUUAGGACGGGGAUAAACCCGGGAAACUGGGUAUAAUACCCGAUAGGUCUCGAUUGCUGGAAUGCAUCGAGAUUUAAAGCUCCGGCGCCUAAGGAUGGGUCUGCGGCCUAUCAGGUAGUAGUGGGUGUAGCGUACCUACUAGCCUACGACGGGUACGGGUUGUGAGAGCAAGAGCCCGGAGAUGGAUUCUGAGACACGAAUCCAGGCCCUACGGGGUGCAGCAGGCGCGAAAACUUUACAAUGCUGGCAACAGCGAUAAGGGAACCUCGAGUGCCAGGUUACAAAUCUGGCUGUCGAGAUGCCUAAAAAGCAUUUCAUAGCAAGGGCCGGGCAAGACCGGUGCCAGCCGCCGCGGUAACACCGGCGGCUCGAGUGGUAACCGUUAUUAUUGGGUCUAAAGGGUCUGUAGCCGGCCGGAUAAGUCUCUUGAGAAAUCAGGCAGCUUAACUGUCAGGCUUUCAGGAGAUACUGUCUGGCUCGAGGCCGGGAGAGGUGAGAGGUACUUCAGGGGUAGGGGUGAAAUCUUGUAAUCCUUGAAGGACCACCAGUGGCGAAGGCGUCUCACCAGAACGGACCUGACGGCAAGGGACGAAAGCUAGGGGCACGAACCGGAUUAGAUACCCGGGUAGUCCUAGCCGUAAACGAUACUCGCUAGGUGUCGGCCACGGUGCGACCGUUGUCGGUGCCGUAGGGAAGCCGUGAAGCGAGCCACCUGGGAAGUACGGCCGCAAGGCUGAAACUUAAAGGAAUUGGCGGGGGAGCAC
rnacentral:rRNA from 1 species